GACGAACGCUGGCGGCGUGCUUAACACAUGCAAGUCGAACGAUGACGACCGAGCUUGCUCGGUCUGAUUAGUGGCGAACGGGUGAGUAGCACGUGAGCAACCUGCCCUUCACUCUGGGAUAACCUCGGGAAAUCGGGGCUAAUACCGGAUAUGAGCUCCUGUCGCAUGGCGGGUGUUGGAAAGUUUUUCGGUGAAGGAUGGGCUCGCGGCCUAUCAGUUUGUUGGUGAGGUAGUGGCUCACCAAGGCGAUGACGGGUAGCCGGCCUGAGAGGGCGACCGGCCACACUGGGACUGAGACACGGCCCAGACUCCUACGGGAGGCAGCAGUGGGGAAUAUUGCACAAUGGGCGAAAGCCUGAUGCAGCGACGCCGCGUGAGGGAUGACGGCCUUCGGGUUGUAAACCUCUUUCAGCAGGGAAGAAGCGAAAGUGACGGUACCUGCAGAAGAAGCGCCGGCUAACUACGUG
rnacentral:rRNA from 1 species